rnacentral:rRNA from 1 species
GACGAACGCUGGCGGCGUGCUUAACACAUGCAAGUCGAACGAUGAAGCCUAGCUUGCUAGGUGGAUUAGUGGCGAACGGGUGAGUAAUACGUGAGUGACCUACCUUUGACUCUGGGAUAAGCCUGGGAAACUGGGUCUAAUACCGGAUACGACCAAUCUCCGCAUGGGGUGUUGGUGGAAAGCGUUAUGGAGUGGUUUUAGAUGGGCUCACGGCCUAUCAGCUUGUUGGUGAGGUAAUGGCUUACCAAGGCGACGACGGGUAGCCGGCCUGAGAGGGUGACCGGCCACACUGGGACUGAGACACGGCCCAGACUCCUACGGGAGGCAGCAGUGGGGAAUAUUGCACAAUGGGCGCAAGCCUGAUGCAGCGACGCCGCGUGAGGGAUGACGGCCUUCGGGUUGUAAACCUCUGUUAGCAUCGAAGAAGCGAAAGUGACGG